rnacentral:rRNA from 1 species
GAUGAACGCUGGCGGCGUGCCUAAUACAUGCAAGUCGAGCGAACAGACGAGGAGCUUGCUCCUCUGACGUUAGCGGCGGACGGGUGAGUAACACGUGGAUAACCUACUUCUAAGACUGGGAUAACUUCGGGAAACCGGAGCCAAUACCGGAUAAUAUAUUGUACCGCAUGGUUCAAUAGUGAAAGACGGUUUUGCCGUCACUUAUAGAUGAAUCCGCGCCGCAUUAGCUAGUUGGUAAGGUAACGGCUUACCAAGGCAACGAUGCGUAGCCGACCUGAGAGGGUGAUCGGCCACACUGGAACUGAGACACGGUCCAGACUCCUACGGGAGGCAGCAGUAGGGAAUCUUGCACAAUGGGCGAAAGCGUGACGGAGCAACGCCGCGUGAGUGAUGAAGGUCUUCGGGUCGUAAAACUCUGUUAUUGGGGAAGAACAAAUGUGUAAGUAACUAUGCACGUCUUGACGGUACCUAAUCAGAAAGCCACGGCUAACUACGUG